AUUGAACGCUGGCGGCAGGCCUAACACAUGCAAGUCGAGCGAGCGGCGGACGGGUGAGUAAUGUCUGGGAAACUGCCUGAUGGAUGGGGAUAACUACUGGAAACGGUAGCUAAUACCGCAUACCAUCAGAUGUGCCCAGAUGGGAUUAGCGAGUGGGUGGGGUAAUGGCUCACCUAGGCGACGAUCCCUAGCUGGUCUGAGAGGAUGACCAGCCACACGGGAACUGAGACACGGUCCAGACUCCUACGGGAGGCAGCAGUGGGGAAGAGGGCACAAUGGGCGCAAGCCUGAUGCAGCCAUGCCGCGUGUAUGAAGAAGGCCUUCGGGUUGUAAAGUACUUUCAGCGAGGAGGCGUUACUCGCAGAAGAAGCACCGGCUAACUCCGUGCCAGCCGCCGCGGUAAUUC
rnacentral:rRNA from 1 species